UAGACAUACAUUUGGUUUUCCAAAAUUUAAAUAUUUUUUUGUAGUAGUUCACUUUUCACAAACCAACGGGAUAUGGGCCUCAUUGAUAAGCGGUUUCAUUAAAAAAUGUUGGAAAAGUAGUGAGUGGUCAAGAUUCGUGUAUUUUUCCUUUGCAUAGCAGACUUUGCAAGAAAAAGGAGUUCGAUGUACAAUAUUAAAAACAACUAAACAACUGUAACACGUGGCGUGUACUUGUGCGAAGCGUGUUGUAACAUCACGAUUUGUGGUCAGUGGUUUCAGGUGAACUUGUGGAACCCAAAACUGAUGAAGUGUUUGUAGCAUGGAAUCGUCAAAACGAACAAGACAUGGCGGUGCUGUUUCUGUCGAUAAGUGCGCCGCAACUCCAUAAAAAAAAAAGCACAAGAGCUAGUGAGAUAUGGAAAGAACUCGAAAAGGUGCAACGACCAACCAUUAAAAAAAGUGAGCCUGUUUAAGCAGUUAUUAAACAAGAGAAUGGCUGAAGGGGACAUUGCUAGCAUGAAAAAGGCAGACGAUAUUACCCUACUUACAAUUUUGGAUACGGUUUCACCUUUACGCGGAUCAUUGUUGCGAAGUGCAAGGUACUGUCAAGCUCUCCUACAUCAUAUGGAAUCUGCACAUAAAAUGGACAUAUCACCGGUCUAACGACCCAAAACCUAGGAGCAAGCUCAAAAAGUUUGUUAUUAAUUCGAAAGAAUAGAUGUUAUGCCAGGGCCAGCUCAGUCGUCGGAUUGGUAACCCAUUAAAUAUGUAUGGUCCCAUUUUUAUUUUGACGAGUAAUAUGGGACUUGCGAAGGGAGAACAACUGGGUCGAAUAAUAUUACAUUGUUGCAGCUCACUCAACUUUUUUCUAACAAUAUGUCUUUCUUCAGGGCUAAGUCUAUAGGGCCGGCGUUGGACAGUUUUAGUAUGGUCAAUCAACCGAAUUUUCAUUUCACCUGUACUAACACGUGUAGAUGGUGUCCCCUUAAUCAGAGCAGUGCACUGCAGUGGAAUAACUUUCAAGUAAUUUUAUUAACUUAUUUUUGUCGGGCUCAAGCAAGUCGGUGUCAAGAUUGGAAAGGUCAACUGGAUCCACAUCUACUGAACAAAUAUUUACAGUUUUGGCUUUUACAAUUUCAAACUUUUUUGGCGAUAUUAUACCGUCAAAUCCCUGAUUAAGGAUUUCGGGACCAAUUACAAUGUUACUAUUUAAAUGUUUAUCUUGUACUAAGUGGAACAAUAUUUGAAGUGAGUUUUCGUUUAUAGUAACCUGGCUUAAAAUCUGCAAUGUGCUGUAUAUACCAGCGUCGCCAAUGCCUUUUACCAUAAUAAAGUUGUUAAAACGUUUUCCAGACAACUUACAACUAAUAUUUUCUUUUAUAAGUGAGCAUUCUGCCCCGGAGUCAAAUGAAAUUGGGUAACACUGGUUCACGGUCUUCUGUUGAAACAAUCCCCGUUGUUUGUUGAUGCAUCUUUUGAACAUUGAUUUGCAAAGUGCCCAGGCCACACUUAAAACAGAAAUGACACAAGACUGCUGACAAUCGUCUCGUCGUUUUUAUAACGGUGAAGAAAUAGUUCCUUGAACUCGUGCCACUUAAUGCCGGGAUAUGAAACUUGGUAUGCCCAUAAAAUGGCCUAUUUGAUUGGACAAAGUAUUCAGAGGAACGUUGCGGAUAUCUUAACGGAAAAAUUGUUUUAUUUGUAAUGCAAAUGUUGUAAUGUAUUAUAUCUAUUUGGAAUAAAUUUGCAAAUUUGCAAAAUUGA